CCUACGGGUGGCUGCAGUGGGGAAUAUUGGACAAUGAGCGAAAGCCUGAUCCAGCCAUGCCGCGUGUGUGAAGAAGGCCUUCGGGUUGUAAAGCACUUUCAGUGGGGAAGAAAGCCUUGGGGCUAAUACCCUCGAGGAAGGACAUCACCCACAGAAGAAGCACCGGCUAACUCCGUGCCAGCAGCCGCGGUAAUACGGAGGGUGCGAGCGUUAAUCGGAAUUACUGGGCGUAAAGCGCGCGUAGGCGGUCUGAUAAGCCGGUUGUGAAAGCCCCGGGCUCAACCUGGGAACGGCAUCCGGAACGGUCAGGCUAGAGUGCAGGAGAGGAAGGUAGAAUUCCCGGUGUAGCGGUGAAAUGCGUAGAGAUCGGGAGGAAUACCAGUGGCGAAGGCGGCCUUCUGGACUGACACUGACGCUGAGGUGCGAAAGCGUGGGUAGCAAACAGGAUUAGAUACCCGGGUCGUC
rnacentral:rRNA from 1 species